rnacentral:rRNA from 1 species
UGGAAACUGUNUGACUUGAGUGCAGAAGGGGAGAGUGGAAUNCCAUGUGUAGCGGUGAAAUGCGUAGAUAUAUGGAGGAACACCAGUGGCGAAAGCGGCUCUCUGGUCUGUCACUGACGCUGAGGCUNGAAAGCGUGGGUAGCGAACAGGAUUAGAUACCCUGGUAGUNCACGCCGUAAACGAUGAGUGCUAGGUGUUAGGCCCUUUCCGGGGCUUAGUGCCGGAGCUAACGCAAUAAGCACUCCGCCUGGGGAGUACGACCGCAAGGUUGAAACUCAAAGGAAUUGACGGGGGCCCGCACAAGCGGUGGAGCAUGUGGUUUAAUUCGAAGCAACGCGAAGAACCUUACCAGGUCUUGACAUCCCGAUGCUAUUCUUAGAGAUAGGAAGUUACUUCGGUACAUCGGAGACAGGUGGUGCAUGGUUGUCGUCAGCUCGUGUCGUGAGAUGUUGGGUUAAGUCCCGCAACGAGCGCAACCCUUAUUGUUAGUUGCCAUCAUUAAGUUGGGCACUCUAGCGAGACUGCCGGUAAUAAACCGGAGGAAGGUGGGGAUGACGUCAAAUCAUCAUGCCCCUUAUGACCUGGGCUACACACGUGCUACAAUGGUCGGUACAACGAGUUGCGAGCCGGUGACGGCAAGCUAAUCUCUGAAAGCCGAUCUCAGUUCGGAUUGGAGGCUGCAACUCGCCUCCAUGAAGUCGGAAUCGCUAGUAAUCGCGGAUCAGCACGCCGCGGUGAAUACGUUCCCGGGCCUUGUACACACCGCCCGUCACACCACGAGAGUUUGUAACACCCGAAGUCGGUGAGGUAACCUUUUAGGGGCCAGCCGC